rnacentral:antisense_RNA from 1 species
CGUCAUCUGUCCCCGACACCCCUGCGGCGAGCCUUGCCACUGGGCCCUGAGAAGCUCAGAGCAGUCGAGUCAGGGCAGUGGGACAUGACCCAGGUCAGAUGUGGCUUUUCCGUAAUUGUACACCAAUGAUCAAGAGAAAAUGAAGGAUUUUAAUAUAAUGGGCUGCAAAUGUAACAAAUCCCCUGACCUUCAGUCUGAGGAGAGAGAACUAUCAACCACACAGAAGCAAAGAUCCAGAGAAAUACUGAGGGAUGCUACCAGACACU